GCUGGUGUCACAUAGCUCCAUGCUCCACCUCUUUACAAUGAAAUGCCGGUAAAGUCUUCAGCAACCAAUGUCAGCAAACCUACUAGGGGAGGCUGAGGCAGGAGAAUUGCUUGAACCUGGGAGGCAGAGGUUGUAGUGAGCCAAGAUUAUGCCACUGCACUCCAGCCUGGGCAACAAAGCAAAACUCCAUCUAAAAAAAAAAAAAAAAAAAAAGGAACCCUACAGGAAGCCUGAUACAUUGGUCAAAAUUUCGUAUCCUGGUUAGGGUCUACUGCUCCUUGGAAAGGCUUAGCUCUCCAAUGAAAAUCACUCCACUGCCUCUGCUAGUUUCCAUGCAGGUGUCUUGGCUCUGCUAGUCUGAAAAAGGUUGGGAACAAUUGCCCUAAGGGACCAAUAAUCUCAUUUAUAGGAAAUUUCCAUAGACACUAAAAAUACAUUUCAUAAACCUUGUAAGUUAUUAUCAGUAUGGAUAAAUUGGAACAGAUAGAUAUUUUCUUAAAAUAAUGACAGAUAUCUCUUAAUGGGGAAACUUUAGAAGCAUUCCAGACAAUAUUAAUUAGUUGGGUAAAUGGACCUGAUGCUGUGUGGCCUGGCCCCCUGCAGUCCUCUUCUACCCUGACACUGCCUUUGGCUCCUCACUCUGGGUCUACUGACCACAGUAUCCCUACCUCUGGCCAAAGCAACCAGAAUAUGCCCUGUGUCCAUUG
rnacentral:lncRNA from 10 species